AUACAGAGGGUGCGAGCGUUAAUCGGAAUUACUGGGCGUAAAGCGCGCGUAGGCGGCUUGGUCAGUCGGAUGUGAAAGCCCCGGGCUUAACCUGGGAAUUGCAUUCGAUACUGCCAGGCUAGAAUGUAGUAGAGGGAAGUGGAAUUCCGGGUGUAGCGGUGAAAUGCGUAGAUAUCCGGAGGAACAUCAGUGGCGAAGGCGACUUCCUGGACUAACAUUGACGCUGAGGUGCGAAAGCGUGGGGAGCAAACAGGAUUAGAAACCCGAGUAGUCC
rnacentral:rRNA from 1 species